rnacentral:lncRNA from 10 species
CAAGAAAGAUAGUUGAAAUAAUCAGAAAUAAAAAUCUAAAAUCAAAAGAUGACAUUAAACUUUCUUUUUUUUAACUUUUAUUUUAGGUUUCGGGGUACAUAUGGUUUGUUACACAGGUAAACACGUGUCACGGGGGUUUGUUGAACUUAUUAUUUCAUCAUCCAGGUAUUAAGCCCAGUACCAAAUAGUUAGCUUUUCUGUUCCCCUCUCUCCUCCCACCCUCCCCCUCAAGUAGACUCCAGUGUCUGUUGUUUCCUUCUUUGUGUUUAUAAGUUCUUAUCCUUUAGCUCCCACCUAUAAGUGAGAACAUGUGGUAUUUGGUUUUCUGUUCCUGUGUUAGUUUGCUAAAAUUUUUUUGUUUUUUUGUUUUGUCAGCUCCAUCCAUGUUCCGUCCACAGACAUCUUGUUCUUUUUUAUGGCUGCAUAGUAUUUCAUGGUGUAUAAGUGCCACAUUUUCUUUAUCCAAUCUGUCAUUGAUAGGCAUUUAGGUUAAUUCCAUGUCUUUGCAAUUGUGAAUAGUGUUGCAAUGAACAUUCACAUGCAUGUGUCUUUAUGGUAGAAACACCGUAAGGUCAAUUUAUAUUCCUCUGGGUAUAUAUCCAGUAAUAGAAUUGUUGAGUCAACUGGUAGUUCUGCUUUUAGCUCUUUGAGGAAUCACCAUACUGCUUUUCACAAUAGUUGGACAAAUGUCUACUCCUACUAACAGUGUAUAAGUGUUCCCUUUUCUCCACAACCUCACCAGCAUCUGUUGUUUUUUGACUUUUUAAUAAUGGCCAUUCAGACUGGUAUGAGAUGGUAUCUCAUUGUGGUUUUGAUUUGCAUUUCUCUUAUGAUGAGUGAUAUUGAGCUCUUUUUCAAAUGCUUGUUGACCACAUAUAUGUCUUGUUUUGAGAAGUGUCUGUUCAUGUCCUUUGCCCACUUCUUAAUAGGGUUGUUUGCUUUUCUCUUGUAAAUUUGCUUAAGAUCCUUAUAGAUGCUAGAUAUUAGACCUUUGUCUGUCAGAUGCAUAGUUUGCGAAUACUUUCUCCCAUUCUGUAUGUUGUCUAUUUACUCUGUUGAUAGUGUCUUUUGCUGUGCAGUUCUUAAGUUUAAUUAGAUUCCACUUGUCAAUUUUUGCUUUCGUUGCGAUUGCUUUUGGUGUCUUUGUCAUGAAAUAUUUGCCCAUUCCUACAUCCAGGAUGGUAUUGACUAGGUUGUUUUGCAAGGUUUUUAUAGUUUUCGGAUUUAUAUUUAAGUCUUUAAUCUGUCUUGAGUUGAUUUUUGUGUAUGGUGUAAGGAAAGUGUCCAACUUCAAUCUUCUGCAUAUGACUAGCCAGUUAUCCCAGCACUAUUUAUUGAAUAAAGAGUCAUUUCCCCCAUUGCUUGUUUUUGUCAGCUUUGUCAAAGACUAGAUAGUUGGAGAUGUGCGGCAUUAUUUCAGGGCUCUUUAUUCCGUUCCAUUGGUCUAUGCACCUGUUUUUGUACCAGAAACAUGGUGUUUUUGCUACUGUAGCCUUGCAGCAUAAAGUCAAGUAGUGUGAUGCCUCCAGCUUUUUCUUUUUGUUUAGGAUUGCCUUGGCUAUUAAGGCUCUUUUUUAGAUCCAUAUGAAUUUUAAAAUAGUUUUUUCUAGUUCUUUGAAGAAUAUUGUUGGCAGUUUGAUAGGAAUAACAAUGAAUCUGUAAAUUACUUUGGGCAGUAUAGCCAUUUUAAUAAUAUUGUUUCUUCCUAUCCAUGAGCAAGAGAUGUUUUUUUCAUUUGUUUGUGUCUUCUCUGAUUUCUUUCAGCAGUGUUUUGUAAUGCUUAUUGUAGAGAUCUCAACAAAUCCAGGAAUUGGUUUUUUGAAAAAAUUAAUAAAAUAGAUAUGCCACUAGCUAGGCUAAUAAGACAAAAGAGAAGAUCCAAAUAAACACAAUUAAAAAUGAUGAAAGGAAUGGUACCACUGACCCAACAGAUAUAAAGACAACCAUCAGAAACUACUAAAAACACCUCUAUGCACACAAACUAGAAAAUCUAGAAGAGACUGAUAAAUUCCUGGACACACACACCCUCCCAAGACUGAGCCAGGAAGAAAUUGAUUCCCUUAACAGACCAAUGAUGGGCUCCAAAAUUGAAUCAGUAAUAAAUAGCCUACCAACCAAAAAAAAAGCCCAGGACCUGAUGGAGUCACAGCCAAAUUCUACCAGAUGUACAAAGAAGAGCUGGUUCCAUUCCUACAGAAACUGUUCCAAGAAAGUGAGGAGGAGGGACUACUCUUCAACUCAUUCUAUGAGGUCAGCUUCAUCUUGUUACUAGCACUGUGUCCUUGGAAAACGUAC